rnacentral:miRNA from 1 species
CACCCCACUGACUACCUCCGGUA